UGCAAGUCGAGGGGCAGCAUGAUUGAAGCUUGCUUCAAUUGAUGGCGACCGGCGCACGGGUGAGUAACGCGUAUCCAACCUUCCGUACACUCAGGGAUAGCCUUUCGAAAGAAAGAUUAAUACCUGAUGGUAUGAUGAGAUUGCAUGAUAUCAUCAUUAAAGAUUCAUCGGUGUACGAUGGGGAUGCGUUCCAUUAGGUAGUAGGCGGGGUAACGGCCCACCUAGCCUACGAUGGAUAGGGGUUCUGAGAGGAAGGUCCCCCACAUUGGAACUGAGACACGGUCCAAACUCCUACGGGAGGCAGCAGUGAGGAAUAUUGGUCAAUGGACGAGAGUCUGAACCAGCCAAGUAGCGUGAAGGAUGAAGGUCCUACGGGUUGUAAACUUCUUUUAUAAGGGAAUAAAACCUCCCACGUGUGGGAGCUUGUAUGUACCUUAUGAAUAAGCAUCGGCUAACUCCGUGCCAGCAGCCGCGGUAAUACGGAGGAUGCGAGCGUUAUCCGGAUUUAUUGGGUUUAAAGGGAGCGCAGACGGGUCGUUAAGUCAGCUGUGAAAGUUUGGGGCUCAACCUUAAAAUUGCAGUUGAUACUGGCGUCCUUGAGUGCGGUUGAGGUGUGCGGAAUUCGUGGUGUAGCGGUGAAAUGCUUAGAUAUCACGAAGAACUCCGAUUGCGAAGGCAGCACACUAAGCCGUAACUGACGUUCAUGCUCGAAAGUGUGGGUAUCAAACAGGAUUAGAUACCCUGGUAGUCCACACGGUAAACGAUGGAUACUCGCUGUUGGCGAUAUACAGUCAGCGGCUUAGCGAAAGCGUUAAGUAUCCCACCUGGGGAGUACGCCGGCAACGGUGAAACUCAAAGGAAUUGACGGGGGCC
rnacentral:rRNA from 1 species